rnacentral:rRNA from 1 species
CUGGUGCCAGCAGCCGCGGUAAUUCCAGCUCCAAUAGCGUAUAUUAAAGUUGUUGCAGUUAAAAAGCUCGUAGUUGGAUUUCUGUUAAUAAUUUAUAUAAAAUAUUUUGAUGAAUAUUUAUAUAAUAUUAACAUAAUUCAUAUUACUAUUUUUUUUAGUAUAUGAAAUUUUACUUUGAGAAAAUUAGAGUGCUUAAAGCAGGCAUAUGCCUUGAAUACUCCAGCAUGGAAUAAUAUUAAAGAUUUUUAUCUUUCUUAUUGGUUCUAAGAUAAGAAUAAUGAUUAAUAGGGACAGUUGGGGGCAUUUGUAUUUAACAGUCAGAGGUGAAAUUCUUAGAUUUGUUAAAGACAAACUAAUGCGAAAGCAUUUGCC